GAAUGCUGACAUAAGUAACGAUAAAGCGGGUGAAAAGCCCGCUCGCCGGAAGACCAAGGGUUCCUGUCCAACGUUAAUCGGGGCAGGGUGAGUCGACCCCUAAGGCGAGGCCGAAAGGCGUAGUCGAUGGGAAACGGGUUAAUAUUCCCGUACUUGGUGUUACUGCGAAGGGGGGACGGAGAAGGCUAUGUUGGCCGGGCGACGGUUGUCCCGGUUUAAGCGUGUAGGUGUGUGUUCCAGGUAAAUCCGGUUCACUUUAACACUGAGGCGUGACGACGAGGCACUACGGUGCUGAAGCAACAAAUGCCCUGCUUCCAGGAAAAGCCUCUAAGCAUCAGGUAACAUCAAAUCGUACCCCAAACCGACACAGGUGGUCAGGUAGAGAAUACCAAGGCGCUUGAGAGAACUCGGGUGAAGGAACUAGGCAAAAUGGUGCCGUAACUUCGGGAGAAGGCACGCUGACACGUAGGUGAAGUGAUUUACUCAUGGAGCUGAAGUCAGUCGAAGAUACCAGCUGGCUGCAACUGUUUAUUAAAAACACAGCACUGUGCAAACACGAAAGUGGACGUAUACGGUGUGACGCCUGCCCGGUGCCGGAAGGUUAAUUGAUGGGGUCAGCGCAAGCGAAGCUCCUGAUCGAAGCCCCGGUAAACGGCGGCCGUAACUAUAACGGUCCUAAGGUAGCGAAAUUCCUUGUCGGGUAAGUUCCGACCUGCACGAAUGGCGUAAUGAUGGCCAGGCUGUCUCCACCCGAGACUCAGUGAAAUUGAACUCGCUGUGAAGAUGCAGUGUACCCGCGGCAAGACGGAAAGACCCCGUGAACCUUUACUAUAGCUUGACACUGAACAUUGAGCCUUGAUGUGUAGGAUAGGUGGGAGGCUUUGAAGCGUGGACGCCAGUCUGCGUGGAGCCGACCUUGAAAUACCACCCUUUAAUGUUUGAUGUUCUAACGUGGACCCGUGAUCCGGGUUGCGGACAGUGUCUGGUGGGUAGUUUGACUGGGGCGGUCUCCUCCUAAAGAGUAACGGAGGAGCACGAAGGUUGGCUAAUCCUGGUCGGACAUCAGGAGGUUAGUGCAAUGGCAUAAGCCAGCUUGACUGCGAGCGUGACGGCGCGAGCAGGUGCGAAAGCAGGUCAUAGUGAUCCGGUGGUUCUGAAUGGAAGGGCCAUCGCUCAACGGAUAAAAGGUACUCCGGGGAUAACAGGCUGAUACCGCCCAAGAGUUCAUAUCGACGGCGGUGUUUGGCACCUCGAUGUCGGCUCAUCACAUCCUGGGGCUGAAGUAGGUCCCAAGGGUAUGGCUGUUCGCCAUUUAAAGUGGUACGCGAGCUGGGUUUAGAACGUCGUGAGACAGUUCGGUCCCUAUCUGCCGUGGGCGCUGGAGAACUGAGGGGGGCUGCUCCUAGUACGAGAGGACCGGAGUGGACGCAUCACUGGUGUUCGGGUUGUCAUGCCAAUGGCACUGCCCGGUAGCUAAAUGCGGAAGAGAUAAGUGCUGAAAGCAUCUAAGCACGAAACUUGCCCCGAG
rnacentral:rRNA from 3 species